AGUCAUUGUUUUCACUUUUAGUUUCACUUACUUAGCAAAUGCAGCUGGCUAUUUUAGCCAACAAACACCCGGCUCAAACAGAGGGAUACUAUGUUAGCUAGCUGGCUAUGACUAUCUAACACAACACUGGAACUUUUCAAAGUCUAGUGAAAGAACAAGACAGAUCAUCAAUGCCAGUGUCUAACGCGUCACCAUCACCAAAAUAAUAAACUGCCCUUUGGCUCUGGUGAAAUACCGGUAAAUACUCUGAGCUGGGAGCAGGAGGACAGCCCAGUCUCCCCAGACCCAGUCUCUCAGUGUGCAAGAUCCUUUGUGUUACAAUUAAAUUCUGUCUCUGACUUGAGGACAGCGUUCGGCGUUCCCACUGACCUCUGUGAUGCUGUGUUGGGUCCUGGGCAGGGGUGCGGCGGAGAUUAGGUCCUCCAUGGCUUCAGGGGGCGCUCCAGCCUCUCCAGUCUGGACGUCUCUUCUGUGUCUUGGGUCCUCCUCUCCUUCCGGCCUCUCCUGCAGAACCACAGGACCUGCAGCCCCUGCAGACUGACACAAGAAGAAAGAGGGUUAUUCCGGUACAUAAAUAGAAUUGGAUAACAAUGUCGUAUGGAAGUCUUACAAGCUCCCCUAUGGAUGAUAACUUAGGAUGUACAUGUAAGCUAAUGAAUAGCUGAGGGGAGACUGAAAUAAAUUUGACACAUUAAGUACUGUAAUUUUUUUAUGUUACACUAUGACACUAACCUCUAUCACGAUAACAUGCUGGGUUGAGGUUCCACUCCCCUCAUCUAUUGUUAUGGGUUGAUCAUCUCUCCACGUAUUUUGUCCUGCUGGCUUUGCAAAGGUCCUGUGGCCUCCUGUGAGAUGUCCUUCACCUAAGAGAGUGAUUGGGGGGAAAAGGGGUGGUUAAGUUAGGUACUGUCAAUGCUCAACUCUAUAUUGUACACUAUCGACAUUAACCACGUUUCCAUCCACAGUUUUCAUACAAGUAAAGUCAUACUGCAAGGUUCCACAACUGGUGGCUAGUGGGCCAAAUUUGGCUUUGGUUUUGUGGCCCUUAAAGUUUUCUGAGCAAAAUGUUUCUAUUUUUUCCAUUGUUGGACAUAAGACUAAAAACACAAGGAAAUCAGUUCCAAUUCAUUUUAAUUUAAGAAAUCUGUUCCCAUGUAUUCCCAUGAAGAAUAGAAAGACAGGCGAUCGUAUACGUAAGCCAGGUUUAAAAUGAUUAUGUUUUAGUCUAACAUUAUAUCUGUUUGUGCUUCUUGCAGUCUACAAAUUAUUUGUAAUUAUUUUUUGGUCCCCUGACCACCUACUCAAUGAAAAAAAUAGGUCUGUGGCUGAAUCUAGUUGAUGAUCCCUGUCAUCCCAUAUAAAAAGAAAUCACGACAGCUGUGAUGAAAACAGGAAGUUUCUGUACAAUUUUUAAAAUGCUGAUAGAUCAUUUGUUUGCUCGACAUGGUGGGAUCUUUGUGUGUUGGUAAAAUUAAUUAUGCAAGAAAUGGUGGGGGAAAUAUUGAUAUAACCAAUCACGUGAUUAUAUGGUGUGUGGCCCUCCCACUAUGACUCGGGAAACCAUGCAGUUUAUUAGGCUACAGAUGAAAUAAAUGAUGAUGAACUUCA